UUAACAAUAAACACAAACUUUGUGUUCAAAUUCAGAGUAAAGAAGCGUCUCACCAACUACAAUGCCUGGGAUGAAGACGAUCUGACUGGCGAUCAUCGAUCCGGCCCAUACGAGAGCCAUACCGCGAAACGACUUCCUGAUCACUCUUACCCUGCGGUCAGACGGUGGAUCAUGAUGAGGAGCAGACCGUAGUGAACCACUCCGUCCCAGUAGCUCAUCAUGAUGCAGUGGGCUGUGCUCAGCAGAGCUAAUGAUGGCUCACGGUUGUCCAGGUGAAGGAGGAUUUCGAUCAUGCGGCCCUCAGACUAGAGUUUCCUCAUUCCCAAGUGGUCAAGUCGACUCGCUUUUGGAUUCAAGGCGCUGGCAGCCGG